UACAGAGGUCUCAAGCGUUGUUCGGAUUCAUUGGGCGUAAAGGGUGCGUAGGCGGCGCGGUGAGUCGGGUGUGAAAUCUCUGAGCUUAACUCAGAAACUGCCAUGGAUACUAUUUGUCUUGAAUAUUGUGGAGGUAAGCGGAAUAUGUCAUGUAGCGGUGAAAUGCUUAGAUAUGACAUAGAACACCAAUUGCGAAGGCAGCUUACUACACAGUUAUUGACGCUGAGGCACGAAAGCGUGGGGAUCAAACAGG
rnacentral:rRNA from 1 species